UAUCUUCUGUACUGCUCGAUACCAGACUGAUGUAACUUGAGCCUAAUUACAUCGCCACGGGAACUUACCGUGAUAUUGUGUGCAUGCCCCUUGCCGGGAAGCCUUAUAUAUCAUCUGCUGUUCCCACUUGAACCUGUGGUUCAAGUUCAAGGUCUGAACGACAGCAUGGUUGAUAC
rnacentral:other from 1 species